rnacentral:rRNA from 1 species
UACGGAGGGGGCGAGCGUUAUUCGGAAUUAUUGGGCGUAAAGGGCGCGUAGGCGGCUUGAUGUGUCAAAGGUGAAAUCCCUCGGCUCAACUGAGGAACUGCCUUUGAAACUGUCUGGCUUGAGGCCGGGAGAGGGUAGCGGAAUUCCCAGUGUAGCGGUGAAAUGCGUAGAUAUCUGGAGGAACACCGGUGGCGAAGGCGGCAUCCUGGACCGGCAUUGACGCUGAGGCGCGAAAGCCAGGGGAGCAAACGGG